GGGCUGGCGGGGGCCGGGGCCACUGCGCCCGUCUGCUGACCACGGCAGGGCCCGUGUAGGAGGGACCCGCUCGGCCUCGCAGGAUGUCUCAGCCGCCCUCCAUCACCCUCCACGUCCCCGAGGGCUCCGAGAGCGAUGGGCACCAGGUGUGUGUCCACCAUGUCCCUGUGUUCCUGCAGCCAGGAGCCCAGUCCAGACAAUGAGAGAGCCCUGCACACCUCAUUCCACCAGCUCAUCCUGGAGCAGAGCAGCUUGAUCGAGGCAGGUCUGGAGCUGGAGUUGCAGGACAGGGGCAGAGUGUCUCCAGCCUGCUUGGCUACUCCAGAUGCCUGUGCCGUGCCCUGGCCAGAGCCUGGGCAAGGUGAGGAGCACCCCAGCUACUCCUCUGCCUCCCUGCAAAUCUUGGCCAGCAUGCCCAGCCGCACCAUCGGACGCAACCUUGGGGCCAUCAUCUCCCAGUACUGCAACCGCACGGCGCAGCUGCGGCGCCGGCGCAGCCGCCCACCCCUACAGCAGCUGUGCCGCACGGCACGGCCCAGCCUGCGCCAGUACGACCUGGAGACUGACCCUGCCAGGGCCACGCUGGAAGAGAAGCGGCGUCUGCUGGUGACGGAGCUGCUGAGCGUCUCACCCAGCCAGUGCAGCCACAUGCUGCUGACCAUGCCCCUCAGCCUGGCAGAGAAACGCAUCCUCCGGCGGCAGCUGAGCGGGCAGAGGGGCCCACUGAGACAGCACGCCCGUCACUGGGACCCCUUCUCACCCUGUGGUUGGUCCAAGGUCUGCGUUGUCCUCGGCUGCCGAGGUCUCUGGCACAGGCUCCUUUCCCUGCUCCGCACUGCGCAGCCCUGGCACUAUGCCCUGAAGCAGAUUGGUGGCCGCUUUGGCUCCAGUGUCCUCUCCUACUUCCUCUUCCUGAAGACACUCCUUAUGUUGAACUUCUUUUCAUUCUUCAUCCUCCUGGCCUUCGUGGUGGUCGUGCAGGCUGUGUACCCCCCUGCAUCGGCCAGCCCCCAGCCCUUCACUGGCCUCGAGCUCCUCACAGGAGCGGGCUGCUUCACACACUCACUGCUGUACUACGGCUACUACAGCAACGUCACCCUAAAUGACCCCUGCGCCUCCAGUCCUAGGGGCAGCCUGUGCCCCCACACAGCCCCCUUCCUCCCGUACAACUUGCCACUGGCCUACCUGUCCAGUGUUGGGGUCUCCUUCCUUGUCACCUGCAUCCUGCUGGUGUACAGUGUGUCCUGCUCAUUUCGGGAGAGCGUGGGCAGCUCCACAGGGGAAUUGGCCAUCAAAGUCUUCUGCACCUGGGACUUCAAGGUGGUCCAGAGACGCUCGGUGAAGCUGCAGUGCGAGAACAUCUGCACCCAAUUGAAGGAGCUGCUGGUGGAGCAGCGCUCCCGCUCCCACUCCCAGAGCCGCUGCCAGUGCCUGGGGCGCUGCCUCGUAAGGCUGCUGGCCUGGGCCCUGGCACUGGGCUCGGCGCUGGGCUGCGUGCUGGCUGUGCACUACUUCUCGGAGCACAUGCACGUGGUUCAGCGGGAGCAACAAGCGCAGGACAGUGGGAGAUGGCAGCAAGAAGCCAUUCUGCUGGUCCUGCCCCUCGUGGUGUCCCUCCUCAAUGCCUUGAUGCCCCACCUGUACAACUUGCUGGCCGUAUGGGAGAAGCAGGACUCCCCAGUGACACAGGUCUACGUGGCAAUCAUCAGGAACCUCUUCCUGAAGACAGUAGUUCUCAUCCUGCUGUGCUAUCAUUGGCUCAGCCGAAGCGUUAUCUGCUCGACAGAGGAGUGCUGGGAGACGUGUGUGGGGCAGGACCUGUAUCGCUUCAUGGUGAUGGAUUUCAUAUUCACCUUGCUGGAUACGCUCUUCGGGGAGCUGAUCUGGAGGCUAAUCCUGGAGAAGAGGCUGAAGACAAAGCAGAGGCCAGAGUUUGAUAUUGCCCGAAAUGUGCUGGAGUUGAUCUAUGGGCAGACCCUGACCUGGCUGGGUGUUGUCUUCGCUCCGCUCCUGCCAGCUGUGCAGAUGCUGAAGCUGCUGCUGUUGUUCUACAUCAAAAAGACCAGCCUGAUGCGGAACUGCCAGUCCCCCAGCAAGCCCUGGCAAGCAUCACGCAUGAGCACCAUAUUCAUCACCCUGCUGUGCUUCCCCUCCUUCCUGGGUGCAGCUGCCUUCAUCUCCUACACCAUCUGGUCGGUGCAGCCAUCAGAAAUCUGUGGUCCCUUCCGGGGGCUGGAAACCAUCUACAAGUCAGGGAAGAGCUGGGUGCUAGUGCUGGAGAAGUCCAACCCCAACAUCACCUGGUUUGCCUGGGUCUACCAGCACCUGUUGGAGAACACCUGGCUCCUGUUCUUCAUGUCCGUGGCCCUGAUUGCCAGGAGCACAGUGUCCCUCAGCUUCCUGCCUGGCUGCCACCAUCCCGUCCUGCUGUCAUUGCAGAGCUGUGAUCUACUUCAACAUCCAGGUGGUCAGAGGCCGCCAGAGGGUGAUCUGCCUGCUCCAGGAGCAGAUUGCCAACGAAGGGGAAGAUAAGGUAUUUCUCAUUCAGAAGCUUCACUCCGUUUACGAGCAGAGACACAGACGUUCCUGAGUCCCAGUGUCAAGCUCCGCAGGAAGCAAUGGGAUGGACUGGACUCUGCUUGCAGCUGGGAUUGAAUCUGUCCAUCACAAUGCACUGCUGGAAGCUGGGGGACCACGGAGUGCUGGGGAAGAUCCUCCCCUCUUGCCAUGGCCAAGGACCCAUUGGGGCAUGUUACCGGGAAUGCUGCAUUGCAGGGAUGCAGGUGCUCCUGCUGCCUGGAGCUGCUGGGAUGCAGUAGGUACAGGCCCAGGACUGCUCUCACACCCCAGGGCACAGCUCCAUGCAGGACUGCCUCACCAGCACAACCCUGCUCUGUGAGGGCUCACUGCUUACAGAGAACAGCUCUUCAGCUCUCCUUCCUCCAAGUGUGCCCUGGGCUGUUUCCAGAAUCCUUUGGGGACCAUGGAGCUUUCUCCACGACAACCUUCACACUGCCUAGGGACAGCAAGUGUGGAGGCAGGAGCUGCCAGGCAUGGACCCAGCUCCAGCAGCCUGGCUCACCAGGAGAGCAGCUGCCUGAUUGCAGUCCCACAGACAAGGUCACUGGGCCACCCCUGCAGCCCUGCACCCCCUGCACUGGCUGGCGGGACGGACUUGGAAGGAUCACGGCGAUGCCGAGUGCUGUGCUGGGCAGGGACCCUGUGGGCUCAAGCUGACCUGGCCCAUUAAAGCGCUGCUGUGCA